rnacentral:rRNA from 1 species
UGCCAGCCGCCGCGGUAAUACGGAGGGUGCGAGCGUUAAUCGGAAUCACUGGGCGUAAAGCGUGCGUAGGCGGCGCAGCAAGUCAGACGUGAAAGCCCUCGGCUCAACCGAGGAAUUGCGUUUGAAACUGCUGUGCUUGAGUCUCGGAGAGGUUGGCGGAAUUCCAGGUGUAGGAGUGAAAUCCGUAGAUAUCUGGAGGAACACCGGUGGCGAAGGCGGCUUGCUAGGCUGAUAUUGACGCUGAUGCACGAAAGCGUGGGGAGCAAACAGGAUUAGAUA